rnacentral:lncRNA from 1 species
GAUGCACGGCUGCAGCGGUUAGUGGUCACGGCGCUGUGUUGCGAGACGCCGGGUGAGGUGGAGUGCUGUGUAUGCCGGCUUGCUUGGAUUAUUCACACUGACUUCUUUUUCCCCCAAGAUUCUGAAGACAACCCCCAAACAUUGCUUUUCUCUGCAACUUGCCCUCAUUGGGUAUUUAAUGUUGCUAAGAAAUACAUGAAAUCUACAUACGAACAGGUGGACCUGAUUGGUAAAAAGACUCAGAAAGCAGCCAUAACUGUGGAGGUAAAUGAUUCAUUUAGUUGCCGGAAUUAGUAUGGAAUUGUCAAUCAUUGUUUCCUGUCUGAUAGUUUCAACAAUAGCAAAUACAAGCUCUUUUUC